AAGUAAUGCUGCUAAGAGUUUCCAUUCCAGGGGGAGGAAGGAAUCUCAGGAGACUCAGGAAGUCAACAAGCCUAGAAAAAGGUUGAAAGACCUCACCCUAAAGUUAUAUAAAAGGGGUCCAGUCAAGGAAUUCUACACUCAAGUCACCAGUCCACAAUCUGCCAAGAAUGCUAUUUCUCCGACUUAUUUUCUCAUGUUCUCCUGAAUUCACGGUUUUCCAGACAAUCUGUGUUGUUGUUGUUGUUGUUUUCAAAAACUUUUCUGCAAGGCUAUUCUUCAGUUUCCUAUUUGCUGGACAAUUUUCAUAGUGAAUCUAUUUCAUUCUCAGAUAACCUUGGUAUAUACUGACACCUUUCAAUAGUAUUAAGGACACUGUAUCAAUACAUCAAAUCUGAGGACAAUUGAAACAAGCAUGAUAGUGGUAAAGAGAAAAGGUCUGUGUACAUAUGUUCUACAUAUGUGCACAUAUGCAAAACAAAACUGGGGGCAGACAUGGUUAUUUGAAAUACUACAACUCUUGAGCAACAAUGCCCUAAGUCCCCUUUGAGCCUUCAGCACAAAUAAGCUUUGAAUCUUACAGCAGGUGUUAAAUUUAUAAUCAUGGUUUACAAAUAUCUUUAGCCUGUAGCAAAUUGCUGUAACUAUUUUCUGCUUCUCUCCCAAGGCAGUAUGUGAUGAGUGCUUUAAUACAUUCACAGACAUACCUAUAUAUCAUUUGUAAAAUCAUGUAUAUACUCUUUACCCCCAAAGCAAUCUGUAGUCAGCAGCAGCCUGCUGUGCUUGACUCUGGGGGACUAAAAUUAUACACCAAAUCCUCCACAUGAUUUGACAAAUCUGGCAGGUGCAACCCAAAUGAAUGGGUGUUAUUGUGUUAUAAAUGACCCAUUAGAUUGAUUGUAGUAAGCAGAGAGCUUUAAGAGGUAUGCAUUGAGAAAUGAAUUGAACUUCUCUCAUGAAACAACUCAGUAGCAUUGCCAGUCCUACAAGAAAUAGCACAGUCACUAUUCUAAGGUAUGAUAACUCCAGUUACAAAUUAAGCAUAAAUUUGUAUCAGGAAGAGAUCCAAUCUCCAUACUUAAUGGUAUCAUUUCUCUAAAGAUGCUGGAGGUGGCCUGAGAAAUGACACAAAGAGUAACCUCCCAAAUACCAAGUCUUACAUGGCUUUGAUACUUAAUUGCAUAUGCAUAAAUGCCAAGUGGCCCAUAGAACUGGAGCCUCUGGCUUUUAAUUGGCCAUACUCCAGUUUUCUUAUUCCCUGCUGUUCCCUCUCAUGUCUCCAAGCUGCUCUCUGACAGGUUCGUUUAUAGAACAGACAUUCCCAGGACUUUCCGGGCUUUGUUUCCCUUUUCUACCACUAGUUUGCAAUUAUGUGAACACACUGGUCGGUCAUAUGUCA